rnacentral:piRNA from 1 species
UAGCUCUGUGCAAGAAGCAUUGUCAGAUA